rnacentral:rRNA from 1 species
AACGAACGCUGGCGGCGUGCUUAAUACAUGCAAGUCGAACGAGAAAAUCCGGCUUCGGUUGGAUGAGUAAAGUGGCGAACGGGUGAGUAACACGUGGACAAUCUGCCCUUAAAUUUGGGAUAAGCCUUCGAAAGGAGGUCUAAUACCGAAUAACACCACGAGAUGGCAUCAUCUUGUGUUCAAAGGCGGGGCAACCUGCCGUUUAUGGAUGAGUCCGCGUCCCAUUAGCUUGUUGGCGGGGUAACGGCCCACCAAGGCUACGAUGGGUAGCCGGCCUGAGAGGGUGAUCGGCCACACUGGGACUGAGAUACGGCCCAGACUCCUACGGGAGGCAG